rnacentral:rRNA from 1 species
GGCUGAGCUGUGAUGGGGAGAAGACAUUGUGUCUUCGAGUCGUUGAUUUCACACUGCCGAGAAAAGCCUCUAGAUAGAAAAUAGGUGCCCGUACCGCAAACCGACACAGGUAGUCAAGAUGAGAAUUCUAAGGUGAGCGAGCGAACUCUCGUUAAGGAACUCGGCAAAAUGACCCCGUAACUUCGGGAGAAGGGGUGCUCUUUAGGGUUAACGCCCAGAAGAGCCGCAGUGAAUAGGCCCAAGCGACUGUUUAUCAAAA